rnacentral:tRNA from 2 species
GGAGGCGCAUCCUGUCCGGUGAUGGGCGCGGUCUUCAAAACCGUUUGUGAGCGCGCGAAAGUGACGCUCAGGUGGGUUCGACUCCCACACGCCUCCGCCA